UGGGGAAUAUUGGACAAUGGGGGGAACCCUGAUCCAGCCAUGCCGCGUGUGUGAAGAAGGCCUUUUGGUUGUAAAGCACUUUAAGCGAGGAGGAGGCUACCGAGAUUAAUACUCUUGGAUAGUGGACGUUACUCGCAGAAUAAGCACCGGCUAACUCUGUGCCAGCAGCCGCGGUAAUACAGAGGGUGCAAGCGUUAAUCGGAUUUACUGGGCGUAAAGCGCGCGUAGGUGGCCAAUUAAGUCAAAUGUGAAAUCCCCGAGCUUAACUUAGGAAUUGCAUUCGAUACUGGUUGGCUAGAGUAUGGGAGAGGAUGGUAGAAUUCCAGGUGUAGCGGUGAAAUGCGUAGAGAUCUGGAGGAAUACCGAUGGCGAAGGCAGCCAUCUGGCCUAAUACUGACACUGAGGUGCGAAAGCAUGGGGAGCAAACAGG
rnacentral:rRNA from 1 species